rnacentral:rRNA from 1 species
UACAGAGGUCUCAAGCGUUGUUCGGAUUCAUUGGGCGUAAAGGGCGCGUAGGCGGCGGGGUAAGUCGGGUGUGAAAUCUCAGAGCUCAACUCUGAAACUGCACUCGAUACUGCUCUGCUUGAGGACUGGAGAGGAGACUGGAAUUCACGGUGUAGCAGUGAAAUGCGUAGAUAUCGUGAGGAAGACCAGUGGCGAAGGCGGGUCUCUGGACAGUUCCGUGA